rnacentral:rRNA from 1 species
UACCGCAUAACGUCGCAAGACCAAAGAGGGGGACCUUCGGGCCUCUUGCCAUCAGAUGUGCCCAGAUGGGAUUAGCUAGUAGGUGGGGUAAUGGCUCACCUAGGCGACGAUCCCUAGCUGGUCUGAGAGGAUGACCAGCCACACUGGAACUGAGACACGGUCCAGACUCCUACGGGAGGCAGCAGUGGGGAAUAUUGCACAAUGGGCGCAAGCCUGAUGCAGCCAUGCCGCGUGUGUGAAGAAGGCCUUCGGGUUGUAAAGCACUUUCAGCGAGGAGGAAGGUGGUGAGCUUAAUACGUUCAUCAAUUGACGUUACUCGCAGAAGAAGCACCGGCUAACUCCGUGCCAGCAGCCGCGGUAAUACGGAGGGUGCAAGCGUUAAUCGGAAUUACUGGGCGUAAAGCGCACGCAGGCGGUUUGUUAAGUCAGAUGUGAAAUCCCCGGGCUCAACCUGGGAACUGCAUUUGAAACUGGCAAGCUAGAGUCUCGUAGAGGGGGGUAGAAUUCCAGGUGUAGCGGUGAAAUGCGUAGAGAUCUGGAGGAAUACCGGUGGCGAAGGCGGCCCCCUGGACGAAGACUGACGCUCAGGUGCGAAAGCGUGGGGAGCAAACAGGAUUAGAUA